AAGUGACAGUUAAUAUUGAGUGUCAACUUGGUUGGAUUGAAGGAUGCAAAGUAUUGUUCCUGGGUGUGUCUGUGAGGGUGUUGCCAAAGGAGAUUAGCAUUUGAGCCAGUGGACUGGGAGAGGCAGAUCCACCCUCAAUCUUGGUGGGCACCAUCUUAAUCAGCUACCAGCAUAAAAGCAGGGAUGGAAAGGGCAGAUUUAAAGAGUCUUCUGGCCUCCAUCUUUCUCCCAUGCUGGAUGCUUCCUGCCCUCGAACUUCGGACUCCAAGUUCCUCAGCUUUUGGACUUUUGGACUUACAGCAGUGGUUUGCCAGGGGCUUUCGGACCUUCGACAAUGGACGGAAAGCUGCACUGUCGGUUUCCCCACUUCUGAGAUUUUGGGACUCGGACUGGCUUCCUUGCUCCUCAGCUUGCAGAUGGCCUAUUGUGGAACUUCACUUUGUGAUCAUGAUUUUCUGUGAUGAAAGGCAUGGGACUUCAGUGAAGAAGGCACAAUGCAGAGCAAGACAAGCAACAUCCUUUUCCGCAUCCUUUUCCGCAUUGAUUUAGUUCCCAGGAGGUAGAAACAGACAAGACAAAGAACAGCACAGAUGCUAAUGUUGUUCAGCUGUGUCGCUGUUGGGAGGCUGCCCUCACACACUUGUAUUUGGAACUCAUGGGGAUACCUGUCGCUUGGUUUUGUUGCAUCAUUGCUGAUGUUAUGAAAAUAUUGGAUCAGUGAAUACCAAAUCUGUAACCCUGAUACUCCCAUGUCUCAAAAGUUCUCAUUCUUCUCCUUCCUGCUGCCACAUGACAAAGGAUGUGUUUGACUCCCCUUUCAUCAUGAUUGCAAGUUUCCUGAGGCUUCCCAAGCCAUGCUGAACUGUGAGUCAAUUAAACCUCUUUUCUUUAUAAAUGACCUAGUUUCAGGUAGUUCUUUACAGCAAUGCGAGAACAGACUAAUACAUGGACUUCUCAGCAUCCCAAAUUUUAUUAUAAAUUGCCCAGUCUCAGAUAUUCUGUUACAUCAGGACAAACAGACUAAGACACUACUGUGUGUCAGGCCCAAUUUUAGUUUUGCAGGAUAGAGCCAGUGACAAAGACAAGUUUCUACCUUCUAUGAAGAUACCUUCCUGUGGGAGAAG
rnacentral:lncRNA from 10 species